UACGUAGGGGGCAAGCGUUAUCCGGAAUUACUGGGUGUAAAGGGAGCGUAGACGGUAAUGUAAGUCUGGAGUGAAAGGCGGGGGCCCAACCCCCGGACUGCUCUGGAAACUAUGUUACUAGAGUGCAGGAGAGGUAAGCGGAAUUCCUAGUGUAGCGGUGAAAUGCGUAGAUAUUAGGAGGAACACCAGUGGCGAAGGCGACUUACUGGACUGUAACUGACGUUGAGGCUCGAAAGCGUGGGGAGCAAACAGG
rnacentral:rRNA from 1 species